rnacentral:rRNA from 1 species
CCCCUAGACGUUCUGGGCUGCACGCGCGCUACAAUAAUACGCACAGCGAGUAUCACCGAGCUCGAAAGGGCAAGGUAAACAAUAGAAAAGGUACUGUAAUGGUUAUAGAUCCUUGUAAUUAUUGAUCUUCAACGAGGAAUUCCUAGUAAGUAUGUGUCAUCAUCACGCACUGAUUACGUCCCUGCCCUUUGUACACACCGCCCGUCGCUCCUACCGAUUGAGUGAGCCGAUGAAACUGCCUGAUGUGGACUAUUCAUAGUCUGCAGAAGAUAUUUGAAUCGUAGCGCUUAGAGGAAGGAGAAGUCGUAACA